GAUGAACGCUGGCGGCGUGCUUAACACAUGCAAGUCGAGCGAGAAGUUUUGAAAAGAUUCUUCGGAUGAAAUUUAAAAUGGAAAGCGGCGGACGGGUGAGUAACGCGUAGGCAACCUGCCCCAUACAAAGGGAUAGCAUUUGGAAACGAAUAUUAAUACCUUAUGAAACUUAACUAGUGCAUGCUAGGUAGGUCAAAGAUUUAUCGGUAUGGGAUGGGCCUGCGUCUGAUUAGCUAGUUGGUGAGGUAACGGCUCACCAAGGCGACGAUCAGUAGCCGUCCUGAGAGGGUGAACGGCCACAUUGGAACUGAGACACGGUCCAAACUCCUACGGGAGGCAGCGGUGGGGAAUAUUGCACAAUGGGGGAAACCCUGAUGCAGCAACGCCGCGUGAAAGAUGAAGGCCUUUGGGUCGUAAAGUUCUGUUCUAGGUGAUGAAAACUGACAGUAACCGAGGAGAAAGCCCCGGCUAACUCCGUG
rnacentral:rRNA from 1 species